rnacentral:rRNA from 1 species
UGGGGAAUUUUCCGCAAUGGGCGAAAGCCUGACGGAGCAAUACCGCGUGAGGGAGGAAGGCUCUUGGGUCGUAAACCUCUUUUCUCAGGGAAGAACUACAUGACGGUACCUGAGGAAUCAGCAUCGGCUAACUCCGUGCCAGCAGCCGCGGUAAUACGGAGGAUGCAAGCGUUAUCCGGAAUGAUUGGGCGUAAAGCGUCCGUAGGUGGCAUUACAAGUCUGCUGUCAAAGACUGGGGCUCAACCCUGGAAAGGCGGUGGAAACUGUAGAGCUAGAGUACGGUAGGGGCAGAGGGAAUUCCUGGUGUAGCGGUGAAAUGCGUAGAGUUCAGGAAGAACACCGGUGGCGAAAGCGCUCUGCUAGGCCUGUACUGACACUGAUGGACGAAAGCUAGGGGAGC